rnacentral:tRNA from 1 species
AAGAGUUUAGGAUAACUACUAGACCAAGGGCCUUCAAAGCCCUAAGUGGGGGAGAAUACCCCCCAACUCUUA